GUCCCCUGGGCAACACACGUCGCAUGACGGAACUUACUGCCACCUUCGCACUGCUUCGCUGAUGGCGCAAUCGAGGGAGACUGCACAUUGCUGCUACUCGUGUAAUUCUGUUGCCUCACCGUGCCUGUCUUCCUUUGCUACCCGUGACAAGGAGAUGGAGCUGGCUCCUGCACAUUGGUUCCAAUGUAUACGUUCUUGAGGUCCCCUGGGCAGCACACGUCACAUGACCGAACUUACUGCCACCUUCGCACUGCUUCGCUGAUGGCGUCAUGGAGGAGACUGCACAUUGCUGCUACUUGUGUUUUCUGUUGCUUCCCAGAGUCCAUCGCUACCCGUGACGAAGACAUGGAGCUGGCUUCAGCAGA
rnacentral:lncRNA from 1 species